GACGAACGCUGGCGGCGUGCUUAACACAUGCAAGUCGAACGGUAAGGCCCUUCGGGGUACACGAGUGGCGAACGGGUGAGUAACACGUGGGUGAUCUGCCCUGCACCUCGGGAUAAGCCUGGGAAACUGGGUCUAAUACCGGAUAGGACUCCGGACUGCAUGGUCUGGGGUGGAAAGCUUCUGCGGUGUGGGAUGGGCCCGCGGCCUAUCAGCUUGUUGGUGGGGUGAUGGCCUACCAAGGCGACGACGGGUAGCCGGCCUGAGAGGGUGACCGGCCACACUGGGACUGAGAUACGGCCCAGACUCCUACGGGAGGCAGCAGUGGGGAAUAUUGCACAAUGGGCGCAAGCCUGAUGCAGCGACGCCGCGUGAGGGAUGACGGCCUUCGGGUUGUAAACCUCUUUCAGCAUCGACGAAGCGAAAGUGACGGUAGGUGCAGAAGAAGGACCGGCCGACUACGUGCCAGCAGCCGCCGUAA
rnacentral:rRNA from 1 species